AGGGCACCACCAGGAGUGGAGCCUGCGGCUUAAUUUGACUCAACACGGGAAAACUUACCUGGUCCUGACACUAGAAGGAUUGACAGAUUGAUAGCUCUUUCUUGAUUUGGUGGAUGGUGGUGCAUGGCCGUUCUUAGUUGGUGGAGUGAUUUGUCUGGUUAAUUCCGAUAACGAACGAGACUCUAGCCUAUUAAAUAACACGCAGAAUCUUGUCUUCUGCGGUGUUUCUUAAUGGGAUCAAGUGUGUUUAACGCUUUGAAACAGAGCAAUAACAGGUCUGUGAUGCCCUUAGAUGUUCGGGGCUGCACGCGCGCUACAUUGAAAGACAAAAUGAGCCCUCUAGUUUUUAAUAAAGCUAGUAAUCUUUGAAUGUUUUUCUUAAUGGGGAUAGGGGAUUGCAAUUGUGCCCCUUGAACGAGGAAUUCCCAGUAAGUGCUAAUCAUUAGUUAGUACUGAUUACGUCCCUGCCCUUUGUACACACCGCCCGUCGCUACUACCGAUUGAAUGGUUUAGUGAGAU
rnacentral:rRNA from 1 species